rnacentral:rRNA from 1 species
UUCUUUAAGAAAUACUUUAAAGUAAAACCUGCUCAAUGAAUAUUAAAUAGCCGCAGUUUACUGUGCUAAGGUAGCAUAAUCAUUAGCUUUUUAAUUAAAAGAUAGAAUGAAAGGUUAUAUGAAACAUAAUUUGUUUCUAAAAUACUAAAAUUAAUUUAGUUUUAAAAGUUAAAACCCUUUUAAUUUUAAGAAAGACGAUAAGACCCUGAUUCAAACUUAAUAUUUUGCUGGGGCGGCAUACAAAAUAAACCUUAAUAACUAAAUUAUUAUUAAUUAAUUAAUAUUAUUAAAAUUAUAAAAGUUACUGCAGGGAUAACAGCGCAAUUUUAAUUUAAAGUUCAGAUUUAAAUAAAAGUUUACGACCUCGAUGUUGAAUUAAUUUUUCUUUAUUAUGAGCAAUAUCAAUAAAAGAUAGUCUGUUCGACUAUUAAAUAAUU